AGGGAAGACAGUGUUGAGAAUGACCAACCUACAUGUCCCCAGCAGCUGAGCAGAAUGAUGUCAGCCAGUCAGCGAUGUUUUGAGGCUCCGAUGUGCUGCCGUAAAACACCUGAUCUGUGAAGAUGUGUGUCAACAAAAGCUUGUGGAGAUAACUGACUGUGUGUUCAAACUAUGGAGAAACUAUACAGAUAGCACAGAUCACUGAAGAUAUCACCAUCACAGCAUCUCUUUAUGUGGAAUGUGUGCAGUUGUUGUGUCAAUUAGCCGCAACUUACAGUUUAUGUGAAAAAUACAUUUUACUCCAUCAGUCUACAUUAAAAUCACUUAUUUGUCCAUGCAAUACUUAUUAACUAUAUAAAAACAAUACUUUAUUAUAUUUCAGAAACGAAUACAUGAUUUUAAUAUGUAUAUAUACAGUAAAGACAGAAUGCACGUGUUGGAUUUCUGAAAUAAAAGUUAUACUGUAAUAAUCUGUUUGAACUCUGAUAAUGCGUGAUGAUGAUGAUGAAGAUUUAAAGCUUCAGUUUGUUUUAUUUAGUGAUUAACAAGCUGUUAAAGUGUAUAAUAAAAUUAUUGAGAAUAUG